UGACAGUUUGGUUCUGGUUGCUAGAUUGGCUAGCUCUUUAAUCGAUUAACACAUGGUAGUUUAGGCGUAUUAUGAGUAAUUUAUGCGGGGGGUGGUUUGCUUAGAGAGUUAAUCUUGCUUCGUAACAAUAGAUAAUGAGGGAAUUCUUGUGAAGAUUAGUUUUAUCCAUAACUCCAGUGGGAAGGAUUUAACAAUUGGCGUCAGCCAGAUUAAGUUAGGGAGCAUUAGGGGGGUCUAAUCAGGUGCCAGCAGUCGCGGUUAAACCUGACUGCUCAAGUCAAUUUUAUAUAAGCGUAAAAGGUGGUUAGGCAAGUUAAUAUUGUAAGGGAAAAGAAGCAUAAACUUAGGAGUUAAAGGUUAAAUUUUUAAACCCCUCAGGGAGAUUGGUUAUGCUUCUUUGUGUUGAAUCCACGGAACCAUGGGCUGUAGACAAGGAUUAGGUACCCUUUUAUUCUUGGUGUAAAUUUUGUUUUGCUAACUGCUUGAGGACUACGAGCGUUUUGCUUAAAACUCAAAGGACAUGGCGGCUAGCCAAUCUAAUUAGGGGAACAUGUGCCUUAAUACGAAAGUGCGCGAUUUAUCAUACCAUGUCUUGAAAACAGUCAGCCGGUGUAUUGCCGUUGUCAAGUAAUGGUUAAGCUUGUAUAAUUAGUUCAAUGAGACUGUGCUCCUUUAGUGGAGAGUUUUCGUGAAUUCAGGUCAAAAUGCUGCUAAUGGCAUGGGGGUCGGGUGUUACAAUCUAUAAUUGGGAUACGGAAACUAUAGACUACAACAGUUGAGUUGUUGCAUAUGAAAUUUUAGUGGAAGGUGAACUUAAAAGUAAAGAGAAAUUAGGAUGUUUUCUUGAAUGAGCUAUGGCUAGUGUACAAACUGCCCGUCACUCUCCCCGAGAGGGGAGAUAAGUCGUAACAAGGUAGGGGUACCGGAAGGUGCGCCCUGAAAAGAA
rnacentral:rRNA from 1 species